AACGAACGCUGGCGGCAUGCCUAACACAUGCAAGUCGAACGAGACCUUCGGGUCUAGUGGCGCACGGGUGCGUAACGCGUGGGAACCUGCCCUUAGGUUCGGAAUAACUCCCCGAAAGGGGUGCUAAUACCGGAUAAUGUCUUCGGACCAAAGAUUUAUCGCCUUUGGAUGGGCCCGCGUUGGAUUAGCUAGUUGGUAGGGUAAAAGCCUACCAAGGCGACGAUCCAUAGCUGGUCUGAGAGGAUGAUCAGCCACACUGGGACUGAGACACGGCCCAGACUCCUACGGGAGGCAGCAGUGGGGAAUAUUGGACAAUAGGCGAAAGCCUGAUCCAGCAAUGCCGCGUGAGUGAUGAAGGCCUUAGGGUUGUAAAGCUCUUUUACCCGGGAUGAUAAUGACGGUACCGGGAGAAUAAGCUCCGGCUAACUCCGUG
rnacentral:rRNA from 1 species